ensembl:lncRNA
CGUGCACGCUCCUGGAAUUUGCUAUUCCUCUCCCCUAUCCCACCCUCCUUUCAGUCUCGCUCCCCUGCCUGCGCGCGGGCUGCAGCUGCAGUGGCGGCCAAAGCUCGGAGUCGUUAAAGCGUCUGCAUGGGGUGGGAGCGAAGCCGGGUUUGUUGGAGGCGGCGCGGCGAAGGCAGAGGAACAGACACGAAGGGACCCUCAGUCUGCCCAAGUGAAGCCUAAGACGUCGGCCUAGAGGUAUCAGUGCAGAGCAUUCUCUCUCUAGAAAGAUGUGUCUAGGACACGCAGCCCAAAUACGUGUGUGUAACAGAGACCGACGAAGUCGCAGCCCAGUCCUCUUUCCAAAAGGGGGACGUCUCCUUUAAGGAGAGAGCCCUGGGUUACCCGGGGGGCGGGACACCCUGUGCAAAUAGAGACAGCUGCAGAAGCGGCUCGGCAGCGAUGCUCUUCUUCACUUUCUGCUCCAGCUCCCGCUGCUGCCUCUCUUUCCCACCUCCUCUUUCUCCUCCUCUUCUUUCCCUUCCUCCUCCUCCUCCUCUUCUUUCUCCUCCUUCUCCACCAGUCUGCACGAGAGCUUUUGUUUUCCGGCGCCGAGGAGAGAGCUGCUAUGUCCGGAAAGUUCCCAGAGGGAUCGGCUCAGGCCAUGCUGCUUGGGCUCCGCAGGGAUUCCCUGGGCUUUGUGCUUUGUCCGAGAUUUAAUUCCUAUCCUUGGACUGCUGUGGAAGAUGAAAUGCCUCUGUUUCCAGGAAGACACUGCUGCUUUUUUGCCAUUGCAUUGGAGCCAAAAACCUUGCAUUCCUCAGUGGAAAAAUGUCAACUAUUUAAUUAUUAUUAUUAAAAAUAAUGACUAAGUUGUUAUUAAUGGUAAUAAUAAAACUCUAGGGGUUGUGACA